rnacentral:rRNA from 1 species
GGGGAGGAAAAGAAACUAACAAGGAUUCCUUUAGUAACGGCGAGUGAAACAGGAUGAGCUCACCUAUAAUCGGCAAUUUUUUGCCGAGUUGUGGUCUGUAGAAGCAUUGUCGGUCGAGGUUCCGGGCUAAGUCUCUUGGAAAAGAGCAGCUGAGAGGGUGACACUCCCGUUCUUGCCUGGGAUCUGCGAUCAUAGCACAUGCCUUCAACGAGUCGAGUUGCUUGGGAUUGCAGCUCAAAUGCGUGGUAUACUCCAUGUAAAGCUAAAUAUAGGUAGGAAACCGAUAGCGCACAAGUACUGUGAAGGAAAGAUGCAAAGAACUUUGAAAAGAGAGUUAAAGAGUACCUGAAACUGUUGAAAGGGAAGCAAAUGGAAACAGUGUGUUUCCGUACCAUUCUUCCUUCGUGGCUUGCCACGGGGGCGCUGUGGUGCGGGAGUGGUCAGCAUGGGUUUGACUCGGAGCAUAUAGCUAUUCAGGAGGCAUCUGUCUUUUCAGAGAUUACUGUUUAGUGUUGUUCUGGGUUGGAUCGAGGUUAGUAUUUCGUGAUGCUGACGAAAUGUUUCUAUUUACCCCGUCUUGAAACACGGACCAAGGAGUCUAACAUGUUCGCGAGUAUCUGAGUGGCAAACUCAUAUGCGCAAUGAAAGUAACAGUGGUAGGACCUUCUGGGGCACUAUCCGCCGGCAUUGAUCCUUCGGGAGAAAGGUCUGAGUGUGAGCAUACAUGUUGGGACCCGAAAGAUGGUGAACUAUGCCUGAAUAGGGUGAAGCCACC